rnacentral:rRNA from 1 species
GCUUAACACAUGCAAGUCGAGGGGCAUCAGGAAGAAAGCUUGCUUUCUUUGCUGGCGACCGGCGCACGGGUGAGUAACACGUAUCCAACCUGCCCUUUACUCGGGGAUAGCCUUUCGAAAGAAAGAUUAAUACCCGAUAGCAUAAUGAUUCCGCAUGGUUUCAUUAUUAAAGGAUUCCGGUAAAGGAUGGGGAUGCGUUCCAUUAGGUUGUUGGUGAGGUAACGGCUCACCAAGCCUUCGAUGGAUAGGGGUUCUGAGAGGAAGGUCCCCCACAUUGGAACUGAGACACGGUCCAAACUCCUACGGGAGGCAGCAGUGAGGAAUAUUGGUCAAUGGGCGUCAGCCUGAACCAGCCAAGUAGCGUGAAGGAUGAAGGCUCUAUGGGUCGUAAACUUCUUUUAUAUAAGAAUAAAGUGCAGUAUGUAUACUGUUUUGUAUGUAUUAUAUGAAUAAGGAUCGGCUAACUCCGUGCCAGCAGCCGCGGUAAUACGGAGGAUCCGAGCGUUAUCCGGAUUUAUUGGGUUUAAAGGGAGCGUAGGUGGACUGGUAAGUCAGUUGUGAAAGUUUGCGGCUCAACCGUAAAAUUGCAGUUGAUACUGUCAGUCUUGAGUACAGUAGAGGUGGGCGGAAUUCGUGGUGUAGCGGUGAAAUGCUUAGAUAUCACGAAGAACUCCGAUUGCGAAGGCAGCUCACUGGACUGCAACUGACACUGAUGCUCGAAAGUGUGGGUAUCAAACAGGAUUAGAUACCCUGGUAGUCCACACAGUAAACGAUGAAUACUCGCUGUUUGCGAUAUACAGUAAGCGGCCAAGCGAAAGCAUUAAGUAUUCCACCUGGGGAGUACGCCCGCAACGGUGAAACUCAAAGGAAUUGACGGGGGCCCGCACAAGCGGAGGAACAUGUGGUUUAAUUCGAUGAUACGCGAGGAACCUUACCCGGGCUUAAAUUGCAGUGGAAUGAUGUGGAAACAUGUCAGUGAGCAAUCACCGCUGUGAAGGUGCUGCAUGGUUGUCGUCAGCUCGUGCCGUGAGGUGUCGGCUUAAGUGCCAUAACGAGCGCAACCCUUAUCUUCAGUUACUAACAGGUCAUGCUGAGGACUCUGGAGAGACUGCCGUCGUAAGAUGUGAGGAAGGUGGGGAUGACGUCAAAUCAGCACGGCCCUUACGUCCGGGGCUACACACGUGUUACAAUGGGGGGUACAGAAGGCAGCUAGCGGGUGACCGUAUGCUAAUCCCAAAAUCCUCUCUCAGUUCGGAUCGAAGUCUGCAACCCGACUUCGUGAAGCUGGAUUCGCUAGUAAUCGCGCAUCAGCCACGGCGCGGUGAAUACGUUCCCGGGCCUUGUACACACCGCCCGUCAAGCCAUGGGAGCCGGGGGUACCUGAAGUACGUAACAGCAAGGAUCGUCCUAGGGUAAAACUGGUGACUGGGGCC